CUUUGUCAUAUAGAGUUUUUCAUGGUCUAUGCUUUGCUGACUGCAUCCUCAUGGUAUCAUUCAACACUGCAUAGGCCUCGGUAUGGUUCUGCCUCCAUUUGUUCAUAUUGUGAUGCUUCUUUAGGUGAGCCCUUGGGCAACUGAAUCUGCUCUGUCCUCACAUGCAGAAAGCCUGAAGGACCUGGGAUUUCAUGUCUCCCUGGAAUGGCUCUUAGCCAAUGACUUACGGGCACAGGGGUACAGAAACCUAGCUCUCUUGCCUCAUGUCAGUACGGCUCUGAGACCUUUACACACUAGAGUUCUUCUGUAGGAUCAAGUUGAAGCUACUUUCCACACAUUUGUGCCUGAAACCACACAUCCACAUUGUUUAUUCUCCUUCCCCAGGCCUGCUUCUCCUGCUCCCUUACUAGUUUCCCCUGCAAACACUGUCUUAAUAAAUCACUUGCAAACAAAUCCUCAUCUCAGGGAAUGCUUCUGGGAAACCCAAAGAAUGACAAUUGAUACCAGUUUGGUCCCAGAAAACAGGUUCUAAUGGUGGGAUUCUGAAGACAGCUUGCUCACUGACCAGAAGAAAACAAGAACCCCUUCACUGGUGAUUUGUCAAUUGUAUUGGUGCAGACUCUAUUUAAGGAGUUCCAGGGACACUCAAGGACAACAGAGAAGACCAAAAGUAGGGCACUAGAGUAAUUUGAAUCCUCUGACACUCACAGACAUAGAAAACAUUAAACACAGACCAGCUUCUAGCCAGACUAACAGAAAACCUCACACUAAAGGCCUAUUUCCUUCAGUCUCUAAUAUCUGAUACAUCACAUCUCGCUUAAAAAAAAUUACAAGGCAUGCUAAGAGGCAAACAAACAAAACAACACAGACUGAAAAGAUGAUGCAAGCAUCAGGACCAGACUCAGAUAUGACACAGACAUUCGAAUUAUCAGACAGGGAAUUUAAAAUAACUGUGGUUAAUAUAUAAGGGCUCUGAUGGUAAAAGUGGACAGAGUGAAAGAACAAAUAGAUAAAGUAAGUAGAUAAAUGGAAACUCUCAGAAUGAAUCAAAAGGAAAUACCAGACAUCAAAAACACUUUGACAGAAAUGAAGCUGAUCAGUAUACUGAACAAGCUGAGGAAAGAAUCAGUGACCAUGUCAAUAGAAACUUCCCAACUGAAAUGCAAAAAACAAACAAACAAAAACCCCUAACAGAAUAUCCAAGAAAUGUGGGAUAAUUUCAAAAGGUGUAACACACGUACAACCAGAAUACCAGAGGAGAUGAAAGACAAAAUGGAGCAGAAGAAAUAUUUGAAGUAUUAAGUCAAAGAGUUUCCAAAAUGAGUGUUAGACAUUAAACCACAUUCUCAGUGAAGAUCCAGAAUACUCUGAGAAGAACAAGUAUGAUAAAUACCCAAAAAUCUACACCUAGGCUUGUUCUACUCAACUGCAGAAAACAAAAAAUAAAACCUUGAAGAAAGAAAAUGAAGAAUCUCAUCUAUAGGGAACAAGGAUAAGAAUCACAUCAGACUUUUCGCCAGGAACCCCAUGAGCAAGAAGAGGGUAAGUGAAAUAUUUAAAGUGUUAAAAGGAGAAAAUCUCGAAUUCUAUAUCUAGUGAUAUUAUCCUUACUAACUGAAAGUGAAAUAAAGAUUUUCCUCAAACAAAGUUCUGGAAAUUUAUUGCCAGCAACCCUGGUCUGUAAGAAAUGUUAAAAGAAGAAAGAAUGUUAAAAUAAGAAGGAAGGAUCCAGCCCGGUGGUACAGAGGUUAAGUUCACAAGUUCUGCUUCUCAGCGGCCUGAGGUUUGCCAGUUUGGAUCCUGGGUGCGGACACGGCACCACUUGGCAAAAGCCAUGUUGUGGUAGGCAUCCUACGUAUAAAGUAGAGAAAGAUGGGCAUGGAUGUUAGCUCAGGGUCAGUUUUCCUCAGCAAAAAGAAGAGGAUUGCCAGUAGUUAGCUCAGGGCUUAAUCUUCCUAAAAAAAAAUAAGAGGGAAAAUAAUAUAGGACAGAAACUCAGACCUAAGUUAAGAAAGAAAGAGCAUCAAAAAAGGAAUAAAUGAAGGUGAAAUAAAAUGUUUAUUUUUCUUAUUCUUAGUUGAUCUAAUAGAUAACUGUUCAAAGUAAGAAUAGUAACAAUGUAUUGGGUGAUUAACACAUAGAGAUGAGUGAUAUGAAUGACAGAAAUAUUAUAAGGGAUAGGAGAGAAGAAUUGAAAAUACUAUGUUAUAAACUAUCUACACUACCUGUGAACAGUAUAUUGUUAUUUGAAAGUGG
rnacentral:lncRNA from 1 species